rnacentral:lncRNA from 1 species
CUUUAAUCUCGUAAUUCAUUGUUUCUCUGGUGCUGGUUACAGUAGCUAAGAGGGUGGAACGGCAGGCCAAUUUGUCACACAAACAAAUUUAAAUGUGGACCGCGGGGUUUGCCCACCUUAUGAUGAGUGGUUGACUUGUGGCCAAAAACACAAAACAAAAACAAAAACAAGAGGUGGGGUUGAUGAGGUCUGGGGAACAAGAGUUGCAGUUUCGAAACAGAGUGAAGGCUCCUUUAAUCUUGACAGCCAGAAUGCUACAGGGGUCACAGCACAUCUGCUCCGGAGGAAAGACAAAGGGCAAGAACAUCUCAGGAUGGGGCAAUAUUUGGUGAGAACAUAUUGGAUUCUACCAAAUUACAAAUAUGUUCCAGUGCUGGGCUGGAGAAGGCAGGGGCCUUGGCUCUUCCACGGUGGCUGUUCAUCAGCACUCACACAUCCACUACACUGGUUUAGUCGCACACUGGAAGGCUGCUUUCUCCUACUGCUUACAAAACAAACUAACAAAUAAACAACAACAACAAAAACAUAACAAAACAAAAAACCUCAAAACUAAACCAAAAACAACGAAUGCCAAACAAUACUCAAAGAACUAUCAAAUUAUUCCCUGGGCUCCUGAAUCAGAUGGAGCUGAAUCAUUCUGGCUGCUAACUGAGUGA